rnacentral:rRNA from 1 species
AAUGGGUCAGCGACUUAUAUUCUGUAGCAAGGUUAACCGAAUAGGGGAGCCGAAGGGAAACCGAGUCUUAACUGGGCGUUAAGUUGCAGGGUAUAGACCCGAAACCCGGUGAUCUAGCCAUGGGCAGGUUGAAGGUUGGGUAACACUAACUGGAGGACCGAACCGACUAAUGUUGAAAAAUUAGCGGAUGACUUGUGGCUGGGGGUGAAAGGCCAAUCAAACCGGGAGAUAGCUGGUUCUCCCCGAAAGCUAUUUAGGUAGCGCCUCGUGAAUUCAUCUCCGGGGGUAGAGCACUGUUUCGGCAAGGGGGUCAUCCCGACUUACCAACCCGAUGCAAACUGCGAAUACCGGAGAAUGUUAUCACGGGAGACACACGGCGGGUGCUAACGUCCGUCGUGAAGAGGGAAACAACCCAGACCGCCAGCUAAGGUCCCAAAGUCAUGGUUAAGUGGGAAACGAUGUGGGAAGGCCCAGACAGCCAGGAUGUUGGCUUAGAAGCAGCCAUCAUUUAAAGAAAGCGUAAUAGCUCACUGGUCGAGUCGGCCUGCGCGGAAGAUGUAACGGGGCUAAACCAUGCACCGAAGCUGCGGCAGCGACGCUUAUGCGUUGUUGGGUAGGGGAGCGUUCUGUAAGCCUGUGAAGGUGUGCUGUGAGGCAUGCUGGAGGUAUCAGAAGUGCGAAUGCUGACAUAAGUAACGAUAAAGCGGGUGAAAAGCCCGCUCGCCGGAAGACCAAGGGUUCCUGUCCAACGUUAAUCGGGGCAGGGUGAGUCGACCCCUAAGGCGAGGCCGAAAGGCGUAGUCGAUGGGAAACAGGUUAAUAUUCCUGUACUUGGUGUUACUGCGAAGGGGGGACGGAGAAGGCUAUGUUGGCCGGGCGACGGUUGUCCCGGUUUAAGCGUGUAGGCUGGUUUUCCAGGCAAAUCCGGAAAAUCAAGGCUGAGGCGUGAUGACGAGGCACUACGGUGCUGAAGCAACAAAUGCCCUGCUUCCAGGAAAAGCCUCUAAGCAUCAGGUAACAUCAAAUCGUACCCCAAACCGACACAGGUGGUCAGGUAGAGAAUACCAAGGCGCUUGAGAGAACUCGGGUGAAGGAACUAGGCAAAAUGGUGCCGUAACUUCGGGAGAAGGCACGCUGAUAUGUAGGUGAAGUGAUUUACUCAUGGAGCUGAAAUCAGUCGAAGAUACCAGCUGGCUGCAACUGUUUAUUAAAAACACAGCACUGUGCAAACACGAAAGUGGACGUAUACGGUGUGACGCCUGCCCGGUGCCGGAAGGUUAAUUGAUGGGGU